UACAGAGGUCUCAAGCGUUGUUCGGAUUCAUUGGGCGUAAAGGGUGCGUAGGCGGCGCGGUAAGUCGGGUGUGAAAUCUCGGGGCUUAACUCCGAAACUGCAUUCGAUACUGCCGUGCUUGAGGACUGGAGAGGAGACUGGAAUUUACGGUGUAGCGGUGAAAUGCGUAGAUAUCGGGAGGAACACCAAUGGCGAAGGCAGCUUGCUGGGACGGUACUGACGCUGAGGCGCGAAAGCGUGGGGAGCAAACAGG
rnacentral:rRNA from 1 species